GGACAGCGGAACCCCGCGCCGAGCACAACCGGGCAAGGACGCCCCGGAGCUCCGCGGGGAGGGAUGCCCGGCCCGCCCUGCCCGCGGGGACUCGCUCUCAUCUUGGGGAGACACAGAAACCCGCGGGGGCCGGAGAGCCCGGCUCAGCGGGGCCGAUCAGUGCCCCCCUCGCCGGGGUUUGCCCGCAGGGGCCGGGGCGGUGCUGGGCAGGCGGGCGCUGGGACCCUGCGGCCGACGGGUCGAACCCCUCUGACCACGGCCCCGCUCCCCAAACUCCGCCCCAGGAGAGCCUCCUCCCGCCGGGCGGGGCCCAGGGUGCCUGCGCGGGGCGGGGCGAGGAGUUUAGUAUCCUGGCGGACGCCAUCCCUGUUUCCUCGUUCUUUCUGCGGCGCAGGGGCGGGCGGAGCUGGGUCUCAGGGCGGGGCUGCGGCCCCGCGGUGCAGUGGAGGCCCCGCGGGCGGGGAGACCGGCCCGGUCCUUCGCCGGGAGCUCCGGGCUCUCGGGGAGGAGGGAGCGGAGGCGGGAGGGCAAGUGCAGGCGGUGCCCGGGCGGCUCCACGGAGCAGCAGCGACGGGGCGGGGGGCGCCGGGGGUGAAUAGGGCCCUCAAGACUGGAGCCUGGUGCUCACCGUUCCCGCCCGAGCCGCCCGCGGCCACACGGGGCCCGACACCGCCGGGGCUCCCGGCCCGUGCCCGACACCACACGCGUCUUCGCUCAUAGGAAUAAGCACAAACUGAAAAGAGCUGGAGCUGCAUAACAACUGGAACGAGAAGGAACUGAAGCUGAAGAGGAGCUGGAAUCAUCCUUGAACUGGAGCCUUAAACAAGCCUGAAGCAUCCACAGGCUGGAGCUGCCCAUAAGCUGGACCUGAAAGAAACCAGAGAAGUGAAACUGGUACAGAGAAGAACUGGAGCCAAAACUAAACUGGAGCCUCCUACAAGCUUCAUGUGAAACAAAUGAGGGCACACAACAAAUAAAAGGGCACACAACAAAUAAAAGGGCACACA